AGUUAAAGACAGACAGUCGUUAUUACUAGAGAGUGAAUGAUAAUAAAUCCAAUAUUUGACAAUAUCAAAUUAUAUUUACUGCUCGGGGUGUGUUCAUAGUGUGUGUGUGUGUGUGUGUGUGUGCACAUGGAUGGGUUAAAUGCAAAGCACAAAUUCCAAGUAUGAUACACCACACCUGGCCACACAUCACAUCACUUUCACUUCCUACUUUAAUCAUCAGUUUGCAUGAAAUUGGUUUAACUGUUAAAUGGCACAUUUUGUAUUUUCUUCUAGCAACCGCAGUCAAAACAACAUCACAGCAUAUUUAGCUCAACAGGAAGCAGCAUGAUUCACAGUUCAGUAGCAGGAACAUCUGAAACACAAACCAACAGCUGCUGGAGGAUCUUGUUGUAACGCCAAGCCAGCAGAGGGAGCCCUCAUCCUAGGACUGCCUGCACGCUCCCUCUGCUGCUUCUACUGCUACUUCCUGUUUGUCACUAUUUAAAGACUGGCCAUUUGCUCAAGACUCUGCGAAGUAUUGCCAGUUUACCUGCUUUACCGAGCGUUUACAUUACUCUGUUGGAUUAUCUGUUGCUAUUUUGCUUUGUUUAUGGACUAUUGAGUUUACGGAUUACCCCUGUCGGAUUGUUUGCUAUUUCUGGGCUGACUUCACGGUAUUCGACCCACUGCCUGCUUUAUCUCUCUGCUGCUUGGAUUACCUUUGUGUUGUGUAUGUUAUUGGCCUGCCUUUCUGGUAUUGACCCUCUGCCUGCUUCUCUGUACUCUGUCUACGUGAAUAAACAACCGCAAAUGGAUUCUACUUCUGCCUCAGCGUCCUCGUUACACAUGUAUUUUAAACUGCAUUUUCACUGUCACUGCUCUUGAUGAUUUUUAGUUUAUAUUCCCCAGAGUCUGUGUUUGUGAUGGUCAGAGAUCCAGUCUGAUAGUUCAGCUUCAGUCUUUGUCUAAAUCUCUCAGUUCCUAUAUUACACUUAACAUCUGUGCAGAUCAAACUGAGAUCUCCUUUCUGCCCUUAGAACAUCUUUGUCUAAGGGAAAUUCCCAUCUGCUAUCCCUUUAACAUGUUACUUUUAAAAUUGACAGCCCUAAUUGUAAUACUCAUGAUAUGUAGAGCAUCACACUACAUAUGCAUGGAUAAUGCUAAGUGGAUACAGUAUUAUUGUAUUUCACUGUAAAGAUGACAGGAAGAAACUUUUCACCUACAAGUAUGUCUAGAUCAAACCACAUCUUUGGGUUAAAACCACCCGAAGUUUCAGUUUGACUCAGAAGAUGAGCUGCAAGAGUGAGAUGGAAGAUAGUAUUAACUUUUUGUUUUGUUUUUACCAUACACAAUAACACAGCAAAGCAACUACUUUUGACAAAUGCUCAGUAUUAAAUAAUAAAAUGAAAAAUACUUUACUUUUAAGUGUUAACAAGUGCUAGAAGAGCACGUAUAUGCAAGUAUAAAUCAUUUGUAAAGUGUCUGUAAAGAGCUUACAAGAAGGGUUAACAUGUUGUGGGAGGUUUCACACCAACUCAAGUGCUUUCAGCAGACAGUUUCAUUAGAUCAGACUUUUCAGAAAAUGAUUUGCUUUAUGUUUGUGCUGGUGGCGUCUGACUGGUAAGUCAUAAAUAUAUUUGUUUUAUCAGAAACAUCAUUCACAAUUGUUAAAUAUCAAGGUGAUUUAAACUUAAUAUACUGAUAAUGUAAAUGACUUUGUAGCUGCAAAGCCUCUUAAUCAGUGUAAAAUCUGUUUGUUCAUCAGGUGUGUUUGGUGAGUUGGUGUCUGUGAUGGAGGGAGAUUCUGUCACUUUAAAUACGGAUGUUACUGAAAUAUAUGAAGGUGAUGACAUUCUGUGGAAAUAUGGAGCGGAAACAUCGAUCAUAGCUAAAAUUAAAAAAAGAAGAAAAUCUUCUCCACAUGAGAUUCAUGAUGGGAGAUUUAGAGACAGACUGAAGCUGGACAGUAAAACUGGAUCUCUGACCAUCACUAACAUCACAGCUGAACAUGCUGGACUUUAUCAACUAGAGAUAAGUGGAGCGAAUCUGAUAUCGAAAACAUUCAAUGUUUCCGUCUAUGUUGUUUAUGGUGAAGGACUUAAUGCUUUCAGUUAUCCUGCAAUGUUGACUGGCUAUAAUUUGUGUAAAAUUGAAUAAAGGAAAAGUUAAAAAAGAACAGCCAUUACUUCAUAUAAAAAUUGACCAUCACAAACAUCACAACUCAACAUACUGGAGUUUAUCAACUAGGCAAGGCAAGGCAAGUUUAUUUAUAUAGCAUUUUUCAUACACAAAGGUAAUUAGGGGAAAAAAAGAUGAUAUAAAAACAAUACUUCACAAAAAGGCAGUAGAAUAAUCAUAAAAACAAUAAUCACAACAAUAAAAAAAAUAAAAAACUUUUAAAAUGAUUUAAAAAUUGAUUUAAAAUAAAUUUAAGACAGUUAAAAACAGAAAAUGAUUAUACAUAGUGCAAGCAGUUUGGACGUAUAAGUGCUCAUUCAGUAAAUGCACAGCUAAACAGAUGAGUUUUGAGUCUAGAUUUAAAUGUAGUUAAUGUUUUAGCACAUUUGAUCUCUUCUGGAAGCUGGUUCCAACUGCGGGCAGCAUAAUAGCAAAAAGCGGAUUCCCCUUGUUUUGUGUGAACCCUUUUUUUUUUAAACUGACUCGAUCCUAAUGAUCUGAGUGGGCUGUUGGGUUUAUAUUCAGUGAGAAUAUCUGCAAUGUAUUUAGGUCCUAGGCCACUGAGUGAUUUAUAAAUGAGUAAAAGUACUUUAAAAUCAAUUCUAAAUAUAACUGGAAGCCAGUGUAGGGACCUGAGGACUGGUGUGAUAUGCUCAGAUUUUCUGGUUCUAGUCACAAUCCUGACAGCAGUGUUCUGGAUGAGCUGCAGCUGUCUAAUGAUUUUCUUGGGAAGGCCAUUGAGGAGACUAUUACAAUAAUCCACCCUGCUUGUGAUAAAGGCAUGAACAAGUUUCUCCAAGUAUUGACUGGAAACAAAACAUCUAAUUCUUGCAAUGUUUUUGAGAUGAUAGUAUGCUGAUUUAGUUACUGCUUUGACAUGACUACUGAAACUAAGGUCUGACUCCAGAAUCACACCAAGAUUCCUGACUUGAUUUUUUGUUAAUUUACCACUAGAGUCAAGGUAUGCAUUCACCUUGAGAACUUCCUCUUUGCUUCCAAAUGCAAUUGGCAGAGGGAAUCAUUGGGGCUGUAGUCAUUUGGUGAUAAGGCUAGGUAAAUCUGGGUAUCAUCAGCAUAGCUGUGAUAGGCAGUUUGGUUCUUUCUCAUUAUUUGACUUAGUAGGAGCAAAUACAGGCUAAACAAGAGAGGUGCUAGAAUUGAGCCUUGAGGGACUCCGCAUGUCAUGGACGUCCACUUAGACUUAUGCUCUCCUAUACUCACAUAAUAACCUCUCGCUUCUAAGUAUGACCUGAACCAACUGAGAGCCAUCCCAGAAAGCCCGACCCAGUUUUCCAGUCUCUCUAGAAGAAUGUUAUGAUCGACAGUGUCGAAUGCAGCACUAAGAUCUAGUAGUACCAGCACUGAUAUUUUGCCAGAAUCAGAAUUUAGGCGAAUAUCAUUUAUUAGCUUAACAAGCGCUGUCUCUGUACUGUGAUGCGGUCGGAAACCAGAUUGAAAAUUGUCCAGGUAUCCAUUUGAGUUUAAGUAGUUGUUCAACUGAUUGAAAACUACCUUUUCAAUAAUCUUGCCUAUAAAAGGAAGAUUUGAUAUCGGUCUAUAGUUGCUCAAUAAGGAUUUAAGGUGCUGUACUAUUUCUUCCAAAGUUUUGCUAUCAGUUGCUUCAAAAACAGACAAAGUGACUUCUUUUUGAAAUUGCGGUCGUAUCUGUCUAACCUCUGCAUAACUUGAGGACGUGCUAAUCACCUUUCUGAUAUUAUUGAUCUUCUCGGAAAAGGAGGAGGCAAAGUCAUUGCAUUUGCUGUCAGAGAGCAU